rnacentral:sRNA from 1 species
UUCCGGCUUCGGGGGGUUCACGACGGC